rnacentral:rRNA from 1 species
AGUGAACGCUGGCGGUAGGCCUAACACAUGCAAGUCGAACGGCAGCACAGUAUGAGCUUGCUCUUACGGGUGGCGAGUGGCGGACGGGUGAGGAAUACAUCGGAAUCUACUUUUUCGUGGGGGAUAACGUAGGGAAACUUACGCUAAUACCGCAUACGACCUACGGGUGAAAGCAGGGGAUCUUCGGACCUUGCGCGAUUGAAUGAGCCGAUGUCGGAUUAGCUAGUUGGCGGGGUAAAGGCCCACCAAGGCGACGAUCCGUAGCUGGUCUGAGAGGAUGAUCAGCCACACUGGAACUGAGACACGGUCCAGACUCCUACGGGAGGCAGCAGUGGGGAAUAUUGGACAAAGGGCGCAAGCCUGAUCCAGCCAUACCGCGUGGGCGAAGAAGGCCUUCGGGUUGUAAAGCCCUUUUGUUGGGAAAGAAAAGCAGCAGGUUAAUACCCCGCUGUUCUGACGGUACCCAAAGAAUAAGCACCGGCUAACUUCGUG